rnacentral:misc_RNA from 1 species
GAAAUGCGAUAAGUAAUGCGAAUUGCAGAAUUCCGUGAGUCAUCGAAUCUUUGAACGCACAUUGCGCCCUCUGGUAUUCCGGAGGGCAUGCCUGUUCGAGCGUCAUUAUCAACCCUCAAGCCCCUGGCUUGGUGUUGGAGACCCGGCGAGGUUUCGACCUCCGCCGCUCCGAAAAACAAUGACGGUGUCCGGUGGAUUCCUGGUACAAUGAGCUUUCCAAGCACGUAUCGUGGUCCCCGGGGGCUGGUCUGACCCAAAACUUCUAUAAGGUUGACCUCGGAUCAGGUAGGGAUACCCGCUGAACUUAA